GUAAAAACCGUGACAGAGGACGUCAAUUUUUGCACACACUGCCUUCCAGGGAGAAAAUGCCGCUGACUGAGAGCAUUUUUAUCGCAGCACAAAAAUUGAUUUUCACCUCUCGAGUUGUCACCGGGACCGCGCCAAACGCGCGUAAAGGUGAACCGGAACGAUCGUUUCCGUUAUGUCAAUGAAGCUGUCGGCAGAUGAAGUCUGCCUUAAAAAGGGUGGUACCGCGGCCACAACUCGUCCCUUCU
rnacentral:ncRNA from 2 species